GUUACCAUAAUUACAUUGUAUCACAGGGUUAAUUUGAUUACAAUAUGAUCCGGACAUUACGGUCCGAGUUUUAGUAUGAUCCGGACAUUGCGGUCUAGACGUUAGUCGUACCCUUUGGCAAUCUUAGAGGAAGUUUGCAAUGGCGUGCUCCGGCACUGUACACAUUUCAUGUCAAAGGAAACUUUAGGUCCCCCACAGGUCUUUUACCUUCCUCCGGGGAGUUUUGUGGAAUAAAGUCGUAUAACAUCACA